CACACAGCGUGUCAGGCCUUUUUUUUUAAAAGUACGAAUGAUUUCUGAUGCGCAUCCGAAAUUGCUUUGCUUUCACCGGAGUUCCUAAUUUCAGGUCGUUUUCUUCUUUCUCUGGCCAGAAGAAGCAAGAGGCAGGACGGCAUCUCCUUAGGUCGUGCUUCUGUAGGACCUCUCACAGAGGAAGUGGACAGGGACAUUAGAUUGGGAAGGUCAUUCUGUCGUCUUCUCUCAAAGAUGAAAAGUAGAAGCUUCAAUGUUCAGGUUUAGCAGGAAAUUCUACUCUCAAACAUGCGUGGUUCUGCAAAUCUAAUUUAACUCCUGUCAUCCAUCAUCAGACCACAAGAUCAUGCACACAAACUAAGUAUGUCUUCAUUCUGUGCUGCUGAUCGAGAUUAUAACAUUCAGAUGCCUGGAAGAAAAGCACAUACUUAAGAUUUCUAAUUUACAGAUAAAAAUAGAGAUUUGCUACUAGUGAUCAUUGAAGUUAAGUACUGAGUCUGUUACCAUAUUGAAAUGAAAAUCAGCAGAUAGGCACAGCAAUUUAUAAUGAAAAUUUUAUUCCAGAUGAAGAUGAUGUCAUAUCAUGAGUAGUUAGGUAUUUAAUUUUUUACCUACGUAGAAAAAGUUGCUCUCUGCACUAAAGCAGCAUUUUGACCUUCUUAAAAAUGCCAGUAGCUUCAAAGUAGAAUGGUGCAAACAGCAUGCCUUAAGUGAAAGCCGGAUAACAUAAAACUAGCAAAUAACAUUUUAUUUAUACUGCUUAUAUGUUUUGCACAUCUCAGCUCAAGACAUGAAAACCAGUUAUAUCAUCAUUGCCAUUAUUUAAGAUGGCUUCCUUCAAGUCAGUUUCAACUUUAUCUGGGAUACCGAAAAAUCACUUUCAAAUACUUUCCAAUGCUACAGCAAAUAUAUACAAAACAUAUUUCUCUUGAAAUGUGUUUUUCAGACAUAUGGGACAUCUCAGUAAUUUAAUAAAGCUUGACCUUGUAACAUUUUUGCCUAAGCUUUAGCUAUUUAAAUAGUUUCAAUGUUCUGCAGUACAGUCUAACAAAGUUGCAACAGUAUAAUGUUCUAUUGGA